GACUUUACCAAGAACCUGGCCUGUGAAGAGUGGGAGGACGAAGGGGAAAGUGGCUGAGGGGCUUCUCACUAUUUUUAAGACGGACAAGACUUGAGUCCAGCUGAAGUCUGAGAGGAAGACGUAAACAGGGAGAGGCUGGAGGCAGAAGAGAGCAUGACGGGGCUUUAUACUGUUGGUUAAACUUCUGCCGGCGGACGCAGCAGCAGGCGGCCAGCGUGGUGAGGAGGAUGGCAGAGACCAGUAUGAAGGCCUCCAGGAACCCCAGCCUUUCCCAGAAAAAGGUCUGACUUCCACAAUCACCGGGCUCAGGCUCACCGCCCCCAGCUUCUGUCUCCGCCAACCCGUUCUGACCCACUCACUGCUAAAUGCCUGACAACUGCUCAAAAGCUCUACUCUGACAAUGAGGCAGCUUGGCUUAAACUUCUCCACGGUGAAGUCCAGGAUCCCCAGCAGGGCCUUCGAGGCUGUUUGUAGCCCCUGCCAACCUGUCCCCCACCUCCCACCCCAGCCCACAUGCAGUGACCACAGCUGACCACUGCCCAUCAUGCGCUCCCACACCCACUGCUGGGGCCUGCUCCCUGAGCUGGUUAUGCCAUCCCCAACCAGAUCCACACAUGAACUCUUCACACUGAGCUUCAGGGCCUCCUCCACCAGGGAGCCCUCCCUGACUGUGCUUCCUCUCAGAGCUUUGCCCCGCUGAAUUGUGGCUGUGUGUGUGAGGACCUGCUAGACAGCGAGCUCAGAGCAAACAGGGACUGGUUUGGUGGAUGUGCAUGCCUUGGACCUGACUAGCAAGUCAAUUUUUCCUAAUGAAUGAGUCCCAGACAUCAUCAGUUUAGUAAAGGUCUGAGGCACUGAAUCAAUCACUUCUCUAGGAGGAAAGAAAAUGCAUAAUUGAUAUUUUCAAAAUAUAGUCAAAGACGGGUAGAGCAAGAAGAGUUCAGCUGACCCACUUCCCAGAUGUGAACACUGAGGCCUGAAGAUGGCAGUGACUUGCGUGAAUUCACAGUGAGCCAGUGGCUGAGCUGGUAGGGAGGGAACACAAGCCGGUGUGUUCCUCCCCUGGUCCAGCUCUGCGCUUCCUCCUGAGAGCCCCAAGGUUGCUCAGCCUUCCUGACCUUGGUUUGCUGACCUGCAAAGUGAAACUAAUUACAGUACCGGGUGUAUGAGGAUGGC
rnacentral:lncRNA from 1 species